rnacentral:rRNA from 1 species
GACGAACGCUGGCGGCGUGCUUAACACAUGCAAGUCGAACGGAAAGGCCCUGCUUUUGUGGGGUGCUCGAGUGGCGAACGGGUGAGUAACACGUGAGUAACCUGCCCUUGACUUUGGGAUAACUUCAGGAAACUGGGGCUAAUACCGGAUAGGAGCUCCUGCUGCAUGGUGGGGGUUGGAAAGUUUCGGCGGUUGGGGAUGGACUCGCGGCUUAUCAGCUUGUUGGUGGGGUAGUGGCUUACCAAGGCUUUGACGGGUAGCCGGCCUGUGAGGGUGACCGGCCACAUUGGGACUGAGAUACGGCCCAGAAUCAUACGGGAGGAAGCAGUGGGGAAUAUUGAACAAUGGGCGGAAGCCUGAUGCAGCAACGCCGCGUGCGGGAUGACGGCCUUCGGGGUGUAAACCGCUUUCGCCUGUGACGAAGCGUGAGUGACGGUAAUGGGUAAAGAAGCACCGGCUAACUACGUG